ensembl:snoRNA SNORA70 Small nucleolar RNA SNORA70
CUGAAGCCAAUUAAACCAAUUGUGUUCCUCUCCUCAUGGGAAAGUAGAGUGAAAUAAUUGCAAACAGCAGCCUCUUUGGGAAUGUGUGUAGGUUGCCUUUAUGGUUUGCUCUAAGGGACCUUGGAGACAAUU